UGUAGGGCAAUAGUCUAAAUGGAUCCAUUUUAAGGCACUCUUACAUCCUCGAAUGAAAUUAAUGAUGUAAUUUAAUUCAAUUGUGACAUAAAUCACAUAAAUUAAAUAAUCAUUUUGCUACCUACCUUCUCCAGCUAAAUCAAAUUGGUGUUCGCUUUCCUAAAUCGCGUCUUAGUAAAUCUAAUGUGCUGUACAUUUCGUUAGGUUACUAUAAAAGCGAAGUAAACAUUUGGUAUUUUUUCAAUUGUAUAAGUCGGGCAAUUUAUGUAAGAUAAUAAACUUGUUAAAGUA